CGCGCACCGGCAGACAGGUAGUCAGCGACCGCACUGUCACAAAGAAGAUCCCUCCACAGUAAUUAGUCAGAACAUUCCCCAAAGAUGUCAUCAAGCUUGGUGAGAUCACGUCAAGAGAAAUCAAUCUUUGGAAUUACAAGCGACGGCGCUGGCAACAAUUGGGAUUCCCUAUCUGGGAUUGGAUUUGAAUCACAUGAAGCACAGAUAUGUCUCAAUUUGUGUGUUGUACAAAACAAAUUGAUUCGGACUGAUUGAUCAGUGGCAACGACCAUAUAUAUGUGCACAAUUUUUUUUUGUUCAGCACACAAGUAUAUACGUAGCAGUCGCCCACAAACCCGAAACCCUAGAUAUAUGCCACGAGCGGAGAAGCUUGGCACAGGACGCGGAGACGAGAGGAAGAUGGCAGGUGGAGAGCCCAGUGGGGAAUUAAUCCAUGGAGAAAGAAGAGCACACGGGCAUGUACGCCGUUGAGAAGAAGAGAAGUGGGGUGUGGGCAACGGACUGGACUCUCGGAUUUCAGGGUGCACAAAUAGGUGCAACCUGUAUGAACACACGAGGAUUUGUUCCCUUAAUCACAGCCUUACAUUUGCUUUACAAAUCGUGGGGGGGAAAAACAGGAAAUCAUAAAAGCACUAAAAGGAGAAACAUUCAGUGCUUCACAGAUGCACUUUCUCUUUGACACGGCUGCCAUGGCUGCAGCAGCUACCUCUUGCUCUCUUGCCAGUGAGAACUAAAAAAUAUAAGAUGAACAAUGCUUAAGAUUUUACAAUACAA